CUCAAAUCAGUCAACUCUAGGCUCUUUCUCGUCAGAUCUCACCAAGUAUAAAUAAAAAUUCCAAUACUUAACCCAGUCUUAUAAUCUCACCUGGAGUAACUUAAAUGUCAUCCUUACUUCUACUCUCAUCCCUAAAGAUGCUUAAUAUGCAUUUUAUCACCCAAUCAGCCCCUGACAUUACAAAAAAGCUACAGAAAUUAGAAUCUGGCCCUCAAACCCCAUAACAUGAAUUAAUCAACUUCACCUUCAAGGUGUUCACUAAUAGGGAAAAAGCUGCCUGGCAGCAGCACGUCUCAUAACUUCAGAUACCUCUGUCAUAAGGCAAACCCCAGCCACACCACUGGCUCACAAAGACUUCAAAGCACCCAGACUGCAGCAUCCAGUCACCCCUCCCGGACCUUGCUUCAAGUGUUAGAAACCUGGCCACUGGGCCAAGAAAUGCCCACGGCCUGGGAUUUCUUCUAAACCCUGCGCUGUCUUUGCAGGGCCUCCAUUAAAAGUCAGACUGCCCAACUCACGUCACUGCUCCCAGAGUUACUGGAGCUCCCAGACCAAAUUCUUCCCAGUCUCCUCAGCUUGGUGGCUGAAGACUGAUGCUGCCUGAACAUCUUGGAGGGCCCCUGGACCAUCAUGGACACUGAACUUCAGGUACCUCUUAUGGUGGAAGACAAGGUUUUUCUUGGUCACCUAGUCUCACCUCAGACUCCUGGGCUCAAGCAAGUAUCCUGCCUCAGCUUCCCGAAGUGCUGG
rnacentral:lncRNA from 13 species